CUACGGGGGGAGCAAGCGUUGUUCGGAUUUACUGGGCGUAAAGGGCGCGUAGGCGGUCGUGACAAGUCACUUGUGAAAUCUCCGGGCUUAACUCGGAACGGUCAAGUGAUACUGUCGGACUAGAGUACAGAAGGGGCAACUGGAAUUCUCGGUGUAGCGGUGAAAUGCGUAGAUAUCGAGAAGAACACCAGUGGCGAAGGCGCUCACUGGCCCGGUACUGGACGCUGAGGCGCGAAAGCCAGGGGAGCGAACGGG
rnacentral:rRNA from 1 species